rnacentral:rRNA from 1 species
UACGUAGGGGGCAAGCGUUGUCCGGAUUCAUUGGGCGUAAAGAGCGUGUAGGCGGCCAGACAGGUCCGUUGUGAAAACUCGAGGCUCAACCUCGAGACGUCGACGGAAACCGUCUGGCUAGAGUCCGGAAGAGGAGUGUGGAAUUCCUGGUGUAGCGGUGAAAUGCGCAGAUAUCAGGAAGAACACCUAUGGCGAAGGCAGCACUCUGGGACGGUACUGACGCUGAGACGCGAAAGCGUGGGGAGCGAACAGG